rnacentral:SRP_RNA from 2 species
ACAGGGCAAGGUUGCAUGCCUAUAUUCUCAACUUCUUGGGAGGCUGAGGCAGGGGAAUUGCUUGAGCCAAGGAUUUCUAAGAUGUAGUGUGCCAUGCCACUCAGAUGUCCACACUGUUUUUCAUCAGUGUGGUGGCCUCCUAUGAGCAGGAGAGCACCAGAUUGCUCGAAGAGAGGUGAACCAUCCCGGGUCAGAAAUGAAGCAGGUCAAAACUCUCAGGCUGUUCCAUAGUGGGAUCACACCUGUGAAUAGUCACUGCAUUCCAGCCUGUACAACAUAACUAUAACCUGUGUCAA